AGACCUCUUACUUUUAAAGGAUAAAAGUAAUCCGCUGGUC
rnacentral:tRNA from 1 species